CCUUGCCAGCCCGCUCAGAAACUCAAAUGAAUUGACGGGGGCCCGCACAAGCGGUGGAGCAUGUGGUUUAAUUCGAUGAUACGCGAGGAACCUUACCUGGGCUCAAAUGUAUGUUGACGUAUUCUGAAAGGGAUACUUCUUCGGACAAUAUACAAGGUGCUGCAUGGUUGUCGUCAGCUCGUGCCGUGAGGUGUCGGGUUAAGUCCCAUAACGAGCGCAACCCCUAUCAUUAGUUGCCAUCAGGUCAAGCUGGGGACUCUAAUGAAACUGCCUACGCAAGUAGUGAGGAAGGUGGGGAUGACGUCAAAUCAGCACGGCCCUUACGGCCUGGGCUACACACGUGCUACAAUGGUCGGUACAAAGGGUUGCCAAGCCGCGAGGUGGAGCUAAUCCCAUAAAACCGAUCGUAGUCCGGAUCGCAGUCUGCAACUCGACUGCGUGAAGUCGGAAUCGCUAGUAAUCGUGAAUCAGAAUGUCACGGUGAAUACGUUCCCGGGCCUU
rnacentral:rRNA from 1 species